AAACCAACAGGGAUUGCCUCAGUAACGGCGAGUGAAGCGGCAAAAGCUCAAAUUUGAAAUCUAACACUUUCAGUGUUCGAGUUGUAAUUUGAAGAAAGUUUCUCUGAGUAGUCCUUUAUCUAUGUUCCUUGGAACAGGACGUCAUAGAGGGUGAGAAUCCCGUAUGAUUUUGGAUACUAUUCUUUGUGAGAUUCUUUCGAAGAGUCGAGUUGUUUGGGAAUGCAGCUCUAAGUGGGUGGUAAAUUCCAUCUAAAGCUAAAUAUUGGCGAGAGACCGAUAGCGAACAAGUACAGUGAUGGAAAGAUGAAAAGAACUCUGAAGAGAGAGUGAAAAAGUACGUGAAAUUGCUGAAAGGGAAGGGCUUUAGGUCAGACUUGGUGUUUAAAUGAUUAUCUUCUCUUUUUGAGUUGUGCACUCGUUUUUCACUGGGCCAAUAUCAGUUUUUGUGGUAGAGCACCUACUGGAAUGUAGCUUUUCUUCGGAUGAGUGUUAUAGCCUUUAGACGAUCUAUUUAC
rnacentral:rRNA from 1 species